rnacentral:tRNA from 1 species
GCGGGCGUAGUUCAGUGGUAGAACUUCAGCUUCCCAAGCUGAUAGCGCGAGUUCGAUUCUCGUCGCCCGCU